rnacentral:rRNA from 1 species
AGCGAACGCUGGCGGCAGGCCUAACACAUGCAAGUCGAACGAUCCUUCGGGAUAGUGGCGGACGGGUGAGUAACACGUGGGAACGUGCCCUUUGGUUCGGAACAACUCAGGGAAACUUGAGCUCAUACCGAAUGUGCCCUUCGGGGGAAAGAUUUAUCGCCAUUGGAGCGGCCCGCGUCUGAUUAGCUAGUUGGUGAGGUAACGGCUCACCAAGGCGACGAUCAGUAGCUGGUCUGAGAGGAUGAUCAGCCACACUGGGACUGAGACACGGCCCAGACUCCUACGGGAGGCAGCAGUGGGGAAUCUUGCGCAAUGGGCGAAAGCCUGACGCAGCCAUGCCGCGUGAAUGAUGAAGGUCUUAGGAUUGUAAAAUUCUUUCACCGGGGACGAUAAUGACGGUACCCGGAGAAGAAGCUCCGGCUAACUUCGUGCCAGCCGCCGCCGUAAAAC